UCUUCUUCUUUUUAUAUCCAA
rnacentral:snRNA from 1 species